AGCAGCCGCGGUAAUUCCAGCUCCAAUAGCGUAUAUUAAAGUUGUUGCAGUUAAAAAGCUCGUAGUUGAAUUUCGGGAUCGAUGGGUCGGUCAUGCCCUCGGUAUGUACUGGUCUCAUUGGUUCUCACCUUCUAAGGAACCAUGAUGUCAUUCGGUUGAUGUUGUGGGGAAUUAGGACUGUUACCUUGAAAAAAUUAGAGUGUUUAAAGCAGGCUAACGCUUGAAUACAUUAGCAUGGAAUAAUGAAAUAGGACAUCGCAUUCUAUUUUGUUGGUUUCUAGGAUCGAUGUAAUGAUUAAUAGGGAUAGUUGGG
rnacentral:rRNA from 1 species